UAUCUCUGUAGAGUCUGCAUAUCAAUAAGCGGAGGAAAAGAAACUAACAAGGAUUCCCUUAGUAACGGCGAGUGAAGCGGGAAGAGCUCAAAUUUGAAAUCUUCAAGGUUUCUACCUUGACGAAUUGUAGUUUAAAGAAGUGCUUUCUGUUGAAGUUUUGGUAAAAGUUCUUUGGAAUAGGACAUCAUAGAGGGUGAGAAUCCCGUAUUUGACCAUUAUUUUCAGCUGUGUGAUACACUUUCAAAGAGUCGGAUUGUUUGGGAAUGCAGUCCAAAAUGGGUGGUAAAUUUCAUCUAAAGCUAAAUAUUGGCGAGAGACCGAUAGCGAACAAGUACCGUGAGGGAAGGAUGAAAAGAACUUUGAAAAGAGAGUUAAACAGUACGUGAAAUUGUCAAAAGGGAAGCGUUUGACACCAGUGUUGUCUUUCCGAAAAUCAAUUAAGAAUGUUUUAUUUUUGAGGAGUUAUGACUUCAUCGGCUUGCUCCUUUCUUUAUGGAACUUUCUUAAUGCACUUUUCGGUUAACAAGUCAACAUCAAUUUCUUUUGUUGUAAAAGAGUAUUCGGAAGGUGGCUUUCUUUUCGGAGAAAGUGUUUAUAGCCCUAUACUUCUACAAUCGGAGAGAUUGAGGUCUGCAGCGUAGAUCCUUCGGGGUUAGAUACAUUUGUGCUAAGUUAUAGCUUUUCAUAGACAACUUGUUGACUAUGUUUAGUCUUGUAGCUUACUCGCUUAUGCUAUUUUACCUACGCUUAGGAUGUUGAGUAGCGACAUACGCAC
rnacentral:rRNA from 1 species